rnacentral:tRNA from 1 species
UAGCGUGGCAGAGCUGGUAAAUGCAA